AUGAGGUUUCUUCAACGAGAUACCUCGGCUGCCGGCUCUAGCCUUAACUCAAGGGCGUUCGGCACGCCGGGUGACAGCGAGCAUCGAGAACGCGCGCCCCGGAAGAGCUUGUUCCGGCGCGCGCGUCGAACGACCGAGCGAGCGAGGGGCCCCGGCAACGGCCUCGGCGCGUGGUCGGGAGCGCGCCGGGCCGUGCGUGCGACUGCAGGCAGCCCUGCGUGUUGCGUGGGGGGCAGGGAAGGAAGGAAGCGCCCGCCCCCCGCCCGCCCUCUGAGUGCCCGUCGCGCGUGGGGUGAAGUUUUCCUAGCUUGCCUGACUUGGUCACUCUGGUGCCACUUCCCACUGGCUUCUGUGUCAUCUGCUGCUCUCAGACUGCCCACACCUGAGUGCAAAGCACUAACUCUGUGAUGCCUCUGAGAUGCCUCAUGUGCUGCCAGCAUCCCAUAUGAAUGAUGUGCUUCAGUUUGAGUCCCAGCUGCUUUGCUUCUGAUCCAGCUCCCUGCUGGUGUGCCUGGGAAGGCAGUGUAAGAGGUCCCAGCUAUUUGGCCCCUGACACCCCCGUGUGUGACCCAGUUGAAUUCUGGGCUCCUACUUUGAAUGAUACAGUCCUGGCCAUUUGGGGAGUGAAUCAGUAGAUGGAAGAUAUAUUUCUACUUCUCUCUGUAACUCUGUCCUUUAAAUAAAUAAAUAAAUAAAUAGGGGCCGGCGCUGUGG
rnacentral:lncRNA from 1 species